UUAAGCGACUAAGCGUACACGGUGGAUGCCCUGGCAGUCAGAGGCGAUGAAGGACGUGCUAAUCUGCGAUAAGCGUCGGUAAGGUGAUAUGAACCGUUAUAACCGGCGAUUUCCGAAUGGGGAAACCCAGUGUGAUUCGUCACACUAUCAUUAACUGAAUCCAUAGGUUAAUGAGGCGAACCGGGGGAACUGAAACAUCUAAGUACCCCGAGGAAAAGAAAUCAACCGAGAUUCCCCCAGUAGCGGCGAGCGAACGGGGAGGAGCCCAGAGCCUGAAUCAGUGUGUGUGUUAGUGGAAGCGUCUGGAAAGGCGCGCGAUACAGGGUGACAGCCCCGUACACAAAAAUGCACAUACUGUGAGCUCGAUGAGUAGGGCGGGACACGUGGUAUCCUGUCUGAAUAUGGGGGGACCAUCCUCCAAGGCUAAAUACUCCUGACUGACCGAUAGUGAACCAGUACCGUGAGGGAAAGGCGAAAAGAACCCCGGCGAGGGGAGUGAAAAAGAACCUGAAACCGUGUACGUACAAGCAGUGGGAGCACGCUUCGGCGUGUGACUGCGUACCUUUUGUAUAAUGGGUCAGCGACUUAUAUUCUGUAGCAAGGUUAACCGAAUAGGGGAGCCGAAGGGAAACCGAGUCUUAACUGGGCGUUAAGUUGCAGGGUAUAGACCCGAAACCCGGUGAUCUAGCCAUGGGCAGGUUGAAGGUUGGGUAACACUAACUGGAGGACCGAACCGACUAAUGUUGAAAAAUUAGCGGAUGACUUGUGGCUGGGGGUGAAAGGCCAAUCAAACCGGGAGAUAGCUGGUUCUCCCCGAAAGCUAUUUAGGUAGCGCCUCGUGAAUUCAUCUCCGGGGGUAGAGCACUGUUUCGGCAAGGGGGUCAUCCCGACUUACCAACCCGAUGCAAACUGCGAAUACCGGAGAAUGUUAUUACGGGAGACACACGGCGGGUGCUAACGUCCGUCGUGAAGAGGGAAACAACCCAGACCGCCAGCUAAGGUCCCAAAGUCAUGGUUAAGUGGGAAACGAUGUGGGAAGGCCCAGACAGCCAGGAUGUUGGCUUAGAAGCAGCCAUCAUUUAAAGAAAGCGUAAUAGCUCACUGGUCGAGUCGGCCUGCGCGGAAGAUGUAACGGGGCUAAACCAUGCACCGAAGCUGCGGCAGCGACACUAUGUGUUGUUGGGUAGGGGAGCGUUCUGUAAGCCUGUGAAGGUGGACUGUGAGGGUUGCUGGAGGUAUCAGAAGUGCGAAUGCUGACAUAAGUAACGAUAAAGCGGGUGAAAAGCCCGCUCGCCGGAAGACCAAGGGUUCCUGUCCAACGUUAAUCGGGGCAGGGUGAGUCGACCCCUAAGGCGAGGCCGAAAGGCGUAGUCGAUGGGAAACAGGUUAAUAUUCCUGUACUUGGUGUUACUGCGAAGGGGGGACGGAGAAGGCUAUGUUGGCCGGGCGACGGUUGUCCCGGUUUAAGCGUGUAGGCUGGUUUUCCAGGCAAAUCCGGAAAACUAAGGCUGAGGCGUGAUGACGAGGCACUACGGUGCUGAAGCAACAAAUGCCCUGCUUCCAGGAAAAGCCUCUAAGCAUCAGGUAACAUCAAAUCGUACCCCAAACCGACACAGGUGGUCAGGUAGAGAAUACCAAGGCGCUUGAGAGAACUCGGGUGAAGGAACUAGGCAAAAUGGUGCCGUAACUUCGGGAGAAGGCACGCUGAUAUGUAGGUGAAGCGACUUGCUCGUGGAGCUGAAAUCAGUCGAAGAUACCAGCUGGCUGCAACUGUUUAUUAAAAACACAGCACUGUGCAAACACGAAAGUGGACGUAUACGGUGUGACGCCUGCCCGGUGCCGGAAGGUUAAUUGAUGGGGUUAGCGGUAACGCGAAGCUCUUGAUCGAAGCCCCGGUAAACGGCGGCCGUAACUAUAACGGUCCUAAGGUAGCGAAAUUCCUUGUCGGGUAAGUUCCGACCUGCACGAAUGGCGUAAUGAUGGCCAGGCUGUCUCCACCCGAGACUCAGUGAAAUUGAACUCGCUGUGAAGAUGCAGUGUACCCGCGGCAAGACGGAAAGACCCCGUGAACCUUUACUAUAGCUUGACACUGAACAUUGAGCCUUGAUGUGUAGGAUAGGUGGGAGGCUUUGAAGUGUGGACGCCAGUCUGCAUGGAGCCGACCUUGAAAUACCACCCUUUAAUGUUUGAUGUUCUAACGUUGGCCCCUGAUCCGGGUUGCGGACAGUGUCUGGUGGGUAGUUUGACUGGGGCGGUCUCCUCCUAAAGAGUAACGGAGGAGCACGAAGGUUGGCUAAUCCUGGUCGGACAUCAGGAGGUUAGUGCAAUGGCAUAAGCCAGCUUGACUGCGAGCGUGACGGCGCGAGCAGGUGCGAAAGCAGGUCAUAGUGAUCCGGUGGUUCUGAAUGGAAGGGCCAUCGCUCAACGGAUAAAAGGUACUCCGGGGAUAACAGGCUGAUACCGCCCAAGAGUUCAUAUCGACGGCGGUGUUUGGCACCUCGAUGUCGGCUCAUCACAUCCUGGGGCUGAAGUAGGUCCCAAGGGUAUGGCUGUUCGCCAUUUAAAGUGGUACGCGAGCUGGGUUUAGAACGUCGUGAGACAGUUCGGUCCCUAUCUGCCGUGGGCGCUGGAGAACUGAGGGGGGCUGCUCCUAGUACGAGAGGACCGGAGUGGACGCAUCACUGGUGUUCGGGUUGUCAUGCCAAUGGCACUGCCCGGUAGCUAAAUGCGGAAGAGAUAAGUGCUGAAAGCAUCUAAGCACGAAACUUGCCCCGAGAUGAGUUCUCCCUGACUCCCUGAGAGUCCUGAAGGAACGUUGAAGACGACGACGUUGAUAGGCCGGGUGUGUAAGCGCAGCGAUGCGUUGAGCUAACCGGUACUAAUGAACCGUGAGGCUUAACCUU
rnacentral:rRNA from 2 species